UGGGGUGUCGCCAAGUGGUAAGGCAGCGGAUUCUGGUUCCGCCAUUCCGAGGGUUCAAAUCCUUCCACCCCAGCCA
rnacentral:tRNA from 2 species